rnacentral:rRNA from 1 species
CCCUAUGGCCAUACUGCACUGAGUGCACUUGAUCUUCUCUGAUCUCAUAAGCUAAAUAAUUCUGAGCCUCAGUAGUACUUAGUUGAAAAACCACCUGGGAAACACAGAUACUGUAGUCA